AUUGAACGCUGGCGGCAUGCUUUACACAUGCGAGUCGGACGGUAACAGGCCUUCGGGUGCUGACGAGUGGCGAACGGGUGAGUAAUGCAUCGGAACGUGCCCAGAGGUGGGGGAUAACGCAGCGAAAGCUGUGCUAAUACCGCAUGUGAUCUGAGGAUGAAAGCGGGGGACCAAGCAGCAAUGUUUGGCCUCGCGCCUCUGGAGCGGCCGAUGUCAGAUUAGGUAGUUGGUGGGGUAAAGGCCUACCAAGCCGACGAUCUGUAGCUGGUCUGAGAGGACGACCAGCCACACUGGGACUGAGACACGGCCCAGACUCCUACGGGAGGCAGCAGUGGGGAAUUUUGGACAAUGGGCGCAAGCCUGAUCCAGCAAUGCCGCGUGCGGGAAGAAGGCCUUCGGGUUGUAAACCGCUUUUGUACGGAACGAAAAGGCUCUGGCUAAUACCUGGGGCUGAUGACGGUACCGUAAGAAUAAGCACCGGCUAACUACGUG
rnacentral:rRNA from 1 species